rnacentral:piRNA from 1 species
GCCCCGGGCUUAAGAGAUGAGUGAAC